rnacentral:rRNA from 1 species
UACGUAGGGUGCGAGCGUUGUCCGGAAUUAUUGGGCGUAAAGAGCUCGUAGGCGGUUUGUUGCGUCGGCCGUGAAAACUUGGGGCUUAACCCCGAGCCUGCGGUCGAUACGGGCAGACUUGAGUUCGGCAGGGGAGACGUGGAAUUCUUGGUGUAGCGGUGAAAUGCGUAGAUAUCAAGAGGAACACCUGAGGUGAAGACGGGUUGCUGGGCUGACACUGACGCUGAGGCGCGAAAGCUAGGGGAGCAAACGGG